rnacentral:rRNA from 1 species
GACGUAGGUGGCGAACGUUAUCCGGAAUCAUUGGGCGUAAAGGGUGCGUAGGUGGCAUGAUAAGUUAUUAGUGGGAAAUCGAGGCUCAACCUCGUGGAAGCUAGUAAUACUGUUUUGCUUGAGUACAGAAGAGGUUAAUGGAAUUCCAUGUGGAGCGGUAAAAUGUGUAGAUAUAUGGAAGAACAUCAAUAACGGCGAAGGCAGUUAACUAUUCUGUUACUGACAUUGAGGCACGAAAGCGUGGGGAGCAAAACGG